rnacentral:lncRNA from 1 species
AGAUGGGUGGGACACAGGCGUUGGGGACAAAGUGACACAGAACCAGGACUGCCAACGGUGACGUGUUGAUGCCACUGGUCCCCAAAGAAGCCACUGGUCCCCGGUGAAGCCACCGUCCCCUACCGUGGUCCCUGUGGCAGCAGCCCCGGGAGGGCGGCGGUGGCAUCUCGACAGCGCUGGGCCACCGUGGCGGCCACGGUGGCAUCGGGGACACCGAGGGUGACCAGCAGUCCCCGGGUCACCCGCAGCGUCCCCAGGAGGUGGCCCUUGGCCAGGCGGGCGCUGGCGUCCCACAGCGCCUCGGCCACUGCCACUGCCGCCAGCAGGUCCUUGGGGACAACAGGACCCUCCUGGGCCACCCCAGGAGGAGCCUCAGGGCCACCCUGUCCCCCCUCGGGGCCACCGUGUCCAGCAGCCGUGGCACCCACGGUGGCCUCAAUGUCCUCGAGGCAGCGGCGCAGGUGACAGUAGAAGUAGGUGGCCCCGUGACAGGCGGCCACCAAGCGUCCCAGGGGCUCGUGGGCCACCAUUGCCCGCCGUCCCUGUUCCCCGGCCACCGCCGUCUCCACCAUUGCCACCGCCGUCUUCUCGGUGGCCUCGGUGGCCGCCUGCAGCCCCGCGCUGGCCUCGGCCACCCGUGUCCUGUGGGCUGUCACCACCUCAGCCAUCGUGGCCACCUCCGAGGUCACCGGCAGUGCCCGGGUGGCCGCCAGCAGCUCCUGGUGCGCCCUGUCCUGCUGGGCUAUCGCCGCCGCCAGGUGGCCCGUGGUGACCCCAGUGGUGGCCCCUGUGGUGGCCACAGUCCCGCAGGCAUCCCUCAGGCGCACGGCGUCCCCCGUCAGCGUGGCCCAGGUGGCCUCCACCGAGGCCACCGCCUUCCGCCACGUGUGGGUGAUGGUGGCCACAGUGGCCCAGGGGUCCCCUGCGGUGGCCCUGGGGACAGUGGCAUCCCCUGGUGGGACUGCAGCAGGCUCAGGGGUGGCCCCUGGGGUGGCCCCGGCGGUGGCCAGGGCACGACGGAGGCGGGUGGCCUCUCCGUGACCGUGGCCCAUGGCCCGGCUGAUGCUGGCGAUGAGGGCCACCAGCCCGGCCCGCAGCGAGCCCGGUGGCACGGCCAGGGGGACGUCCCCUGGGGUGGCCCCCAGCUCGCCCAGGGUGGCCACCACAGUCACCAGUGGCUCCAGCAGCUCCGGGGACACCUGGGGACAGGGACAGCAGGGUCUCCCGUGUCCCUUGUCCUCUCCUGGGUGUGUCCCUUGUCCCCUCCGGGGUCCCCUGAUGUUCCCUGUCCCCUCUGC